UCUGGUAAAGGCCCUGCAGUAGGCGUACUCCGCAUCUCAGGUAACUCGAAUAAGCUCUGUCCCUUUUUUUUGGGGAAUAUCUCUAGCAGUCUAAGAUGGAGAUCGAACUGGAGACAGAAAUCGGCUGUCAGAGUUCAAAACGGAGAAGGAGUUGUGCUAUAGAUGGAUUGAUCUCAAUGUCCAGAUUCUGCACUAGAUUUUCUGCGUUUGAGAUUGGAUCUGCUGCUGCGGGUUUAUUUCCAAUUACGGUACUUGGUCUAUUAGUCGUAUGCAGGAACGAAAAGCAGGUGCAAUUCUUCUUCUGGUAAUAGACUGGUACGACCCUUCUAUGAAUGGCACGAUCGAUCAAAUAUGCUUUUAGACCACCGUUUCAGGUUUCCAUUAUUUCACCACCGCCAAGCUUUGUCAUGCAAUUUUGUUUGAAACGUGGUCGUAAAGGAUGAGACUUUGAGAGACAGACUUUUGUUCGUCUCAGUUUCUAUUUGCUGACUUUGACAUUGGCUUCAAGGAAUAUUUGUGUGAUGGUCAUGACCAUCCAUGACUUUGGCUGUUCGUGAACAACCUCCGUUAAAGCGAUAACAACGUCAUCCUUUGGGGGAAUUUAGCAUUGAAGCUGGGCUGUUCAUGAACAACCAAAUAUUUCAAUGCGUUAAGCCUGCAUCACCAUUUGGGAGGGAUUUUGAGCAUGAAACUCGGCUGUUCAUGAACAAACGCUCUUGUUUCAAUGCUUCAGGCCUCGGAGCAUUUGGGAGCAGCAAGAACAUCAUUUUGAUGAGCUUAGGAGAACUCUAAUAAUUGUGGUCGUUCAUGAACGGCCUAUUAGAGUUUUGGAGGGCCACAAGACAUAUGAGGAUUACUUGGAGAAGGUUGUAUCACAGGGAAGGCAGACUUGUUUUUCCUGUCAUUGACAUCAUAUGGGCAAUUUUGUCUAUGAAAAAUUAACCAUAAUGUAGCCUUAUACCUGCAGACUUUCUUCCUCUUUCUCUUGUAACUAAACGUAGCUUCUCUGCGUAGUUGUACCUCUUUUUCCUCUUUCCGCUCUCUGUAUUUCUGCUCUGUAACUUUUUCCUCCUCUGCUGCGUGUAUCUUUUAUAUUUCUCCCCUCUCUCCUCUCUUGCUUUGUUGCGUCUUUUCUCCUCUCCGUGUGUCUCUCCGUGUCUCUCUGUGUAUUUCUCUUCGGUGUUGCAGCCUAUACAUAGUGGUCAUGGGAUAGGCGUAACCGGAUAGUGAUAAUCACUUUGUAUUUUGCAUUUGAAUUUGAAUAACAAGUCUUAUCUUUAUCACUUGUUA